AAUGUAAAUAUAUAUUUAGAAAAACCUUUCUGAAAAUCCUCCGGAAUCAUUUACCAUGCUUUUUAUAUAUCAUUUUUAAGAUUUACUUAUAGAGUUCAUUUUGCUAUUAAACUUCACUUUCACUAGGCUUCAUGUCCAGACAGAAGCUUUGUUUUGCUUUGUUUUUCCUUGUAUGCUGUAACAGCAGUUUUUCUAAUGACCAAUAGCCUAUGUCUGAUUCAUUUUAUUUUUGCUGAUCUCUGUAUGGUAUAACCUUUUUUUUUUUUUUUUUUUUUUUUUUUUUAACAAUACUGUUUUCUAUAUUUUAUGUAUUUUUAUGUAAAUAGAUAGUAAUAAUAAUUAACCUUUUGUGUUGAAUGAAACUUUUACGACUCUAAAGUAAUGAUAUACAUGAAUACAGGUGUGGUGUGAUAGCAGACACCUCAGAAGCAUUAACACAGAUGCCAUAUAAAAAAAGCUGCAUGAGUUGAUAAGGGGCCACAGGGCCAGACUGGAGGUCCCAGGGCUAUAACCAACUCACCAACGGUCCUGGAUAAAAACAAUUUUAGCAGUAAAAAGAGAAUAAAGAACAAGUACCAAAUGUCCAUCAUAUAUAUGUAUAUGUGUAUUAUAUGUAUAAUGUAUAUUAUAUAUACAACAGAUUUGCAUUCAACAUGGAGUUGUGGACCAGUAAAGGAAGAGCAAGGAAUAAAGAUGACUUGCUGUAACCUGCCCUUCUGGACUCAAGCUGAAGACCUUAGGACUUGAAUGAACAGCGCAACAUCAAAGGAAAGGGAUAGAUGUUAUGCAUUAUGUGGAUAAUAAUGUAACAGUGUUAUUUUUGAGAUUUUAUCUGUAAAAUUAUGCCUAAUUUUCUUUUUUCCCCUUCUGUAAUACUUAAUUCUGGAUUUAUUAGCAACUUAUGUGAUUAGACUGUUAAGGUAUCAUUUAGACUAUAAUGAAUGAUUUCAGAUAAUAUAAGGUGUAUUUUCUUUUGCUCAUAACUAGACUUUGAGGUAACGGAUGACCAUAUUCUUUUUAUUUUAUUUUUUAACAGCAAACACAAAAAGAGAUAUAUCUUCCAAAGGAGGCAGGAGUUAUGAUGAUGCUUAUUUUUCAUACAAUAGCCCAUAUUCAAUUUGUUUUAUCCAACGUCUGUUUAGCUUAUAGCAUGUAAAUAGUACUUUAUACAGUGACUUCAAAAAUUCAGUAGUCACUCAAUCCCUAUCGUGCCUUCAGUAUUCUCUGUUUGAACUUCAUGGUGACUCAGACUGAGGAAUUCUUGCAUUAAAAAAUAUAUUUCAAGGGAGGAGCCCUUGAGAUUUAAGGAUUUCCAGCUAGAAAGCAACUAACUGCAUAUAUUCACUUUAAAAUCUAUAAUACUAAUAAAAAUGUAAUACUAAUAAAACA
rnacentral:lncRNA from 1 species